AUGUCCCUCAUCACCGAUGAUCCCGACCGCUCCCCGAGGGACUGCGUGGCGGCCAGGCGCCACCACUCCGGCAGGCGCCGGCGCCGGCUGCUGAUCGUGGCGGCGUCAGCGGUGGCGUUGCUGCUGGCCAUGGCCAUCAUACUCUGGCUCACCCUCCUUCCUUCCAGCCCGCGGUUCAGGCUGCUGUCCGCCACCGCCUCCACGAACGCCACCGGGGGCAUGGGCACCGUGCUGCUCGACGCGGCCCUCGUCGCUCACAACCCCAACGCGCACGCCCUCGCGCUCUAUGACGGCCUCCGGGCGCGCGCGUCCUACGCGGGACUCGAGCUCGCCGCCGCCGCGCCGAUCCCGCCGUUCCAGCAGGCCCAGGGCGACAUCGUGCUCUCCGCCGCGCUCUCCUCGUCCUCGGCGGCGGAGGAAACGACGGCGGGCGGGCGGUCGCCGACGCUGCUGACGCUGCGCCUGGAGGGGCGGCUUCGGUGGAAGGUGGCCGUCUGGGUGUCCAGCAGCCGCACCCUCGCUGCCGAGUGCGUCACCGCCGCCAUCUCGCCGUCGCAGCCCAGGGCCGUCGUCGUGCAGGACUGUCAGUGCGCCACCACCAUCGGAUGA
rnacentral:rRNA from 1 species